UACAGAGGUCUCAAGCGUUGUUCGGAUUCAUUGGGCGUAAAGGGUGCGUAGGCGGCGCGGUAAGUCGGGUGUGAAAUCUCGGAGCUUAACUCCGAAACUGCAUUCGAUACUGCCGUGCUUGAGGACUGGAGAGGAGACUGGAAUUUACGGUGUAGCGGUGAAAUGCGUAGAUAUCGGGAGGAACACCUGUGGCGAAGGCGGCCCCCCUGGUUGGAUACGUGACGCUGAUACGCGAAAGCGUGGGGGAGCAAACAAGGG
rnacentral:rRNA from 1 species